rnacentral:tRNA from 1 species
GGGGAUGUAGCUCAAUUGGUAGAGCGAUUACAAAGCAUGUAUUAGAUCUUGGUUUUACUCCUUGCAUCUCCA